AUACGGAGGCUGCAAGCGUUAAUCGGAAUUACUGGGCGUAAAGCGUACGUAGGCGGUGAGUUAAGUUAGAUGUGAAAGCCCCGGGCUCAACCUGGGAACUGCAUUUAAAACUGGCUCACUAGAGUUGAGUAGAGGGGAGUGGAAUUUCAGGUGUAGCGGUGAAAUGCGUAGAGAUCUGAAGGAACACCAGUGGCGAAGGCGACUCCCUGGACUCGAACUGACGCUGAGGUACGAAAGCGUGGGUAGCAAACGGGAUUAGAAACCCUAGUAGUCC
rnacentral:rRNA from 1 species